AUACGGAGGGUGCAAGCGUUAAUCGGAAUUACUGGGCGUAAAGAGUACGUAGGCGGUUUGUUAAGUUAGAUGUGAAAGCCCCGGGCUUAACCUGGGAACUGCAUUUAAAACUGGCGAACUAGAGUUGAGUAGAGGGGAGUGGAAUUUCAGGUGUAGCGGUGAAAUGCGUAGAGAUCUGAAGGAACACCAGUGGCGAAGGCGACUCCCUGGACUCGAACUGACGCUGAGGUACGAAAGCGUGGGUAGCAAACGGGAUUAGAAACCCCAGUAGUCC
rnacentral:rRNA from 1 species